GACUCCGUAGCUCAGUUGGCAGAGCAGCUGGCUUUUAACCAGCGGGUCGCAGGUUCGAGCCCUGCCGGAGUCA
rnacentral:tRNA from 2 species